GGAGAGAUGCCUGAGAGGUCGAAAGGGGCGGUCUCGAAAACCGUUGAGGGUUUUGCCCUCCGAGGGUUCGAAUCCCUCUCUCUCCG
rnacentral:tRNA from 1 species